UGGGGAAUAUUGGACAAUGGGCGCAAGCCUGAUCCAGCCAUGCCGCGUGAGUGAUGAAGGCCCUAGGGUUGUAAAGCUCUUUCACCGGUGAAGAUAAUGACGGUAACCGGAGAAGAAGCCCCGGCUAACUUCGUGCCAGCAGCCGCGGUAAUACGAAGGGGGCUAGCGUUGUUCGGAUUUACUGGGCGUAAAGCGCACGUAGGCGGACUAUUAAGUCAGGGGUGAAAUCCCGGGGCUCAACCCCGGAACUGCCUUUGAUACUGGUAGUCUUGAGUUCGAGAGAGGUGAGUGGAAUUCCGAGUGUAGAGGUGAAAUUCGUAGAUAUUCGGAGGAACAACAGUGGCGAAGGCGGCUCACGGGGUCGAUACUGACGCUGAGGUGCGAAAGCGUGGGGAGCAAACAGG
rnacentral:rRNA from 1 species